AAGGAGAGGAUUUCUACAGCUAAGAUUUAAAACUAAAUUUACCUAGUCAUAAGGAUCCUUGGUUUCAUUGUGUCCUAUUUCCCACAUCCUGUCUCACUGUGUCCUAUUUCCCAUGUCCUGUCUGUUGUCUCCUGUCUUCUGUCCCUUAUCUGCUGUGUCUUGUCUGCUGUCCCCUCUAUGCUGCAUCGUGCCUCCUGUCCCUGUCUGAUUUCCCUGUCUGCUGUUCCUCGUAUGCUGUCCCUUUCUGCUGUGUCCCAUCUGCUUUGUCCUGUCUGCCGUCUACUGCCUGCCAUUUCCUGUCUUUUUUCCCUUGUCUGCUGUGUACUGUCUUCCAUGUCCUGUCUGCUCUUCCUUGUCCACUUCCUCCGUUUGUCAUGUUCUGUCUGCUGUGUGCUCUCUGCUAUGUCUUGUCUGUUGUGUCCUGUCUGCUGUCCCCUGUCCUCUGCUGUCCUCUGUCUGCUGUAUUCUAUCUUUUGUGUUCUGUCCGCCAUGUCUUGUCUAUUGUUUGCUGUCUGCUAUCGUGGGCACAUACUUGCCUGCUGGAGGUAGUCCAGCUGGGUCUCAGAUACAUAAUCUUUUCUUAGUGGUAGGUUCUUCCCAACCCUCAAUGCCAGACCAAUUUCUUGGAGUUCAUUAUGGACAUAUGUGUUUUGUUGGGUGAGCCCCCUCUUUCUACCAGCCUGUGACUUCUUGUGACCAAUGUUAUGAAGGGCCUUCUUUCUGGAUAGGAUACAUUCAGAACUCUUAAGAAAAAAUAAGAGUUUACCAGGUAUCAGUGGGAGGGGGACUGACUAAGAUUCGCUCCUGUCCCCUUGUGUCUGGGGAAUGGAGUUGGAGGUGAGAGGAAAGGGGACUAAAGAUCAUAGCCCUAGGGUGGGUCACUGAAGGCUGCAUUAUCAGGAGAGAUGGGGUCUAGUAUUCCUCCUUAGAGCUGGUCCACUGGCACACAGGCAGCUUUGGGGGUAUGCAGAGGAAAUCCCAGGAUAGGCUGGGGUGGGGCACGAGUUUCUCCCUGUCUUUUAGAGGGGUGGGGGUCAGGUUUGCUUUCCCAGCCCCACUCUCUGAGUCCUAGGAGGCCUGGGGAAGCAAGCAGAGGCCUGAGAAAGGGAUGCAUUUUUGGAAUUCCAAGCAUGUCUGCUUCCUUUCUGGCCUGGUUCUGCCUGGAAGCCAGGAUCUGUGUAGAACUGUUGGCUCCGGGCUCCUUUUAGUCCUACCUCAUGGCUCUAGGAGUUGCCAGAAGAAAUUUGCUGGGCCCUGCCAGGCCUUACUCGUCCUCUCACCAGGGGGUGGUAGUGAAGGCAGUGCUCCUACCAGGGAGACUGUGCUCCAGAGCACAUGGUACUGAAAAAAGGCCACAAAAAAUGAUAUCACUUAAUUUAGGGACCAAAAUAUCAUAGGGAACUAUUUGCUUGGGACAUCAUAUUAAAAUGUUAAAUGUAAACAUUUUUUAAAAAGCUCAAUCUUACUUUAUUCUUAAAUUUUGGUUAUGAUUACUCCUAUGCAAAGAUGAUGAUGAUGAUGAUGAUGAUGAUGAUGAUGAUGAUGAUGAAUGUGUGUGUGUGUACAUGAUGCUACUGAGAAAGCUGGACAUCUGGUACUUGUGAUAUGAUCAUAGAAAGGGUCACUUUUGAAAAGAAAACUGCUGAUUCAUCAUGUUUCCUGAGAACCCUGGGAGCCUCGGUGCCCAGUUGGUAGCCCACUGCCCUCCUUCUUGCUAUGGGGCAGGGGUUCUUCCUCUUCAGCUAGUCACCUGUCCCUGCCCCUCCCCCUGGCCCGCUGAUCCCUCUUUCCAAGGGUGUAGGUAUGCAACUCUCCACCACCUUUCUUUGACUUUCUCACAUCCUGCAUUUUCCUUGCAAGACUUGCCAUUUCCAUGUUCAAAGUCUCUUUAGGAUACGUACAUUGUUGAGAUGGGCAGUGAGAGAGUCUGGAGUUAAGACUAGGAACAUCUGCAUGUGGUUACAAGAAGUUCUUUUGUGAGAGGGUUUUCCUGAACUGUGACCUUGGCUUUCUUGCCCACCUACAGGAAGGCAGUUACUGACAUUUAGAUGAAGAGGGCUUGGGAUCUGUGGCACCUGGAAAAUUCUCUGUGCUCCAUUUUUCUAUGCCUGGCCAGGAUGGCACCCAGGCUGGAAUGCCAUUCCAGCUUCCCCCUCUUCUCUUCAGGCCAGCCUGAGAGCUGGAGUCUCUGUGGCCCAGUCACCACUUGAAUGUGGCUGCCGUCUGUGGCAGCUGUCCCUGGGCAGCAAGAACUCUGACAUUCUUUCCCCUGCAGCUGAAAUUGGAUGUGCAUUUCAAGUCAGGUCCUACUUACUCUAGCCAGGCAUAUAUACCCAGGGGAGCUGUUAUGAGUUCCCUGCAGAGUGUUAGGCCUGCCCAUCAUGGCCCUCCACUGGGCUUCAGACUGCUGUUUGAGUGACCCUCUCUACAACAGACUCACACUUCUCAGGAUUCCUAGACCCCAGGUGAAAUCUCAUCCCCUACUCCAACAGACUCUCUUGUCUGUGCUGGAGUCACAGUCACUCCCACCUGGAUGGUUUCAUGGGUUCUUCCUGCCAAUGCUGGCCUGGGGGUCCCUCAGGCUCACCCCUCAACUGGGAAGGGACUUUUGGAAAUUGAAUUGAUUAUCUAUCGCUGGGUAAGAAGUCACCCCAAGAUUUAGUAGUUUAAGAAUAACAAUUUUUCUUUCUUGUGAAUCUUCAAUUUGGGCUGCUCGUGGCAUCACCCGAGGAGUCCCUUCCAAGAUGGCAUGCUCACAUGGCAUGUUAGUGCUGGCUGUCAGCUAGAGGAUUAGCUUGGGCUUUGGGCCUGAGGUCUCAGCUCCUUUCUGUGGGAUGCUUGGGCUUCUUUAAAGCAGGGCAGCUGAGUUCCAAAAGUGAAUGUCUCCAGAAAACAAAUUGAAAGCCUUUAAAGUCACAAGGCAUAACUUAUGCCCCUCAAUAUGGAUUAAAACCUUCACAAAGUCUUACCCAGGUACAAAGAGUGGGAACAUUGGCUCCACCUUUUGAUGGGUGGGUGGCAAAAUUAUAGAGAAGCAGAGUUCUAGAAAAGCAUAUGAUUCUAGAGGAGCACAUGGUUCUAGAAGAGCAUGUGGUUCCAGAAGAGCAUGUUAUGGACAGUAUUGGAAAAUGAGAUCUGCUGUAAAAACAAAAAUAUGGUAAGCAGCCUCUGAGAUGGCCCAAGACUCCCUUCUUCCUGGGAUUGUGCCCUUGUGUAAUCUCCUCCUCUUGAAUGUAGGUUGGACUUAUGCACUUCUAAUGAACGUACUAAUGGCUGAAGUGGUGGGAUGUCACUUCUAAGAUCAGAUUACAAAAAAGCUGUGGUUUCCAUCUUGGAUGCCCUUGCUCUCUGUUGGAUCACUCAUCCUGGAGGGGGACACCAACUGUAAUGUCAGGAAGCAGCUCUGUGGAGCAGCCUACACGGUAAGGGACCAUGGCCUGUCAAAACCGUGUGAGAGAUCGUGAAAGUAGAGUUUCCAGUCAAGCCAUCAGAUGAGACCACACAGCCUGCUGAUAGCUUGACUACAUCUUCAUGAGAGACCCUUGCCAGAGGCCCUCAGUCAAGCCAAGUCCAGAAUCUGACCCACAGAAAUGCUGCAAACAAACCAUAGGUCAUACUGAUAGCAGCUAAAAAUCAUUGGAAUAAAGAGUGAAGGAAGGAAGAAAACAGAUUUUGGUGAAAAGAUCUUUGCAUCAGGAGGAGAGAAGCUGGUGGGAGCUAAAGGUGUACUUUCUGGCCUGCAGUGAAGGCUGGCUAGACAGAGAUCUGGAGCCUGGUGGGCGAGGGACCAGCCCUGAAGCUGACAGCCUAGGUCCUGACUGAUCAGCUGGAAGGCAUCUUUUUGGAGGAGACUGUGAGAAGAGCCUUGCACCCAGGAGCCAGGGAAGUGUGUGCUCAUCUACCUUCCCUCCUGCUGGGAGCUUACAGCAGGGAGAGCUUUCCUGCUCUAAGAAGGCCCAGCACCCUCUUCAGCCAGAGCUGUGAGAGUCGCUUUGUUAAUUUCCAGGAUGAUGUCAGCAGAACCUGUUAAGAUAACUGAAGACCCAAAUGUGUAGAUUAAAAAUGGAAGAAAUGUCACCAAGGGCUCUGGGCAACUGGUGAUGUCUAAUAUCCCUGGAGCAAGUUGUGGUGCUGACAUGCCUGCUGGCUGGACCAGUGAAUGACCUGGCCGUCCGUUCCCUUCCGGGCUCCAGCAGAAGUUCAGGGCUAAACGCCUUCCUGGAUGACAUCCUCGCUUCCCUCUUCAGUAGAGUCUUGCAUUGAAUAUAUAACCUUGCAGAUAUACUGCCCAGAGUGGGUGGGAGCGAGGAGGGAGUCACAAGAGCAAUUAGAGAGUGAAGACUGAGCAGAUGGGGCUUUCUGGUGGACGAGGGCAGGGGAAUAUUUGUGGCUGCCUUGGCUUGGCAUGCCGGAGGGAGAGAAAUUGUAAGUAUGUGUGCCAUGUAAACACUAGUACAUUCAAACUCACAGGCAGGUGUGCAGGUGCCUUGGGCUGUGUGGUCUCCCUCUAUGGUCCCCCACCUGGCGAUGUCUAACCUGUUCCCUGGCUCAGAGAGCAGUGGCCCAGGCAACGGCCUUUCUUUCUAGAGACAAUGGGCAUCAGGAGAGUGGGGCCAGUGUUGCCAGGGGCUCCUGGGUCCCUGUUAUGGGCCGGCCCAUAUCCCAGCCCCACAGAGAAUACUGGGCUUUGGCUCUAGUGAAAAAGAAGGUUUAAGCUCCCACAGUUCACAAGUGAUGGUGCUAAGAUUUGAACCUGGCUCUGUUAUGCCUGAGGACUUUCCUCCACACCAUGUGGCACCUGGCUUAUGGAGAGCUGCCCUCAGAGCCAGGGCUCCAUUGUUACCCCAGAUACUAAAGAAGAUGUUUGGGAGGAGGUGCAGGAGAGGGGCUCUGAGCUGUCAGACCAGGUUCUGCCUCUGUGAGUUCCCAGUGACGGUUGUGCAGCCUGCUGCUCUCCCUCCUAUCCAGGCAAGCGGGGCUGGAGGACACUCUCUCAUCCCAAGGCAAGGCUGGGAGAAGUGGGGGUGAGAAAUGAGAAUAGGGUCAGUACCAAGGACACCAAUGGAGUCCUUGUUUACUGCUGAUGGAGUAAGCAGUAAACAAGCUUUCACAUUUCACUGGAGCUUACUCCAUUUCUUUUUGCUGUGUAAAUUUUCUCAUUUUCAUUCCAGAACCUUUUCUUCUUUCCCUCUCAGCCUGAUUCAGAGUUGGGGAGGCUUAGAGCUAUACCACAGGCCCAGGAAGGCCCAUAAAUAAAUGAUGAUGGAACACUCUUCAUCUUGAGGAAUUUGGAGGAAAACAGAUGGUUGUAGCUGGGUGACAUUUACUUUACUGUCUGUCAAUAUUUGAGAGGUUUUAUUACUUUGUAGUGCCAGAUUUUAGAAUAAAUUAAAUGGCUAAUGGAAAUAUUAAAAUAAAAUUAAUUUAACUAAACAAAACUGGGAGGAUUGGUACAAUUUGUUUAGAAGUUACUAAAUAUAUUUUCAAAAUGAAUCUUCAGGGAGGGGAGUAAUUCCUUAUUCACCUGGUGGAAGCCCAGCCAGCCAGACUGCACUAUGCACUUUCUGGGGCCAGGACCUGGGCCAGCAUUGGCAUGAAGCUGGGCUUGCCUUGGCAGGCUUGUCCCUGGAGAGCUCAAAGCCAGACAGCCUGGCGUGUGGGAGGCAGACAUGUGGGCUGCAAUCUUGACCCAUGCUUUCCUCAUGUGCACAGGGUUAAAGGAGGCCCAAGGAGGCCAGAUUCUGCCUGCUGCUUCUGUGCCUUCAUCACUCUCUGGGCAUUUGCUCAGUGCCCAGCUAGAGGUAAAAGAU